rnacentral:rRNA from 1 species
UACGUAGGCAGCAAGCGUUGUUCGGAAUUACUGGGCGUAAAGAGUGUGUAGGCGGUGCUCUAAGUCUGUUGUGAAAUCUCCCGGCUUAACUGGGAGGGUGCAGCGGAAACUGGAAUGCUCGAGUAUGGGAGAGGUAAGCGGAAUUCCUGGUGUAGCGGUGAAAUGCGUAGAUAUCGGGAGGAACACCGGUGGCGAAGGCGGUUCUCUGGGCCUUACCUGACGCUGAGGAGCGAAAGCGUGGGGAGCGAACAGG